rnacentral:rRNA from 1 species
GUGGGGAAUAUUGGACAAUGGGCGAAAGCCUGAUCCAGCCAUGCCGCGUGUGUGAAGAAGGUCUUCGGAUUGUAAAGCACUUUAAGUUGGGAGGAAGGGCUGCUGGCUAAUACCCUGCAGUUUUGACGUUACCAACAGAAUAAGCACCGGCUAACUUCGUGCCAGCAGCCGCGGUAAUACGAAGGGUGCAAGCGUUAAUCGGAAUUACUGGGCGUAAAGCGCGCGUAGGUGGUUGGGUAAGUUGGAUGUGAAAGCCCCGGGCUCAACCUGGGAACUGCAUCCAAAACUGCCCGGCUAGAGUACGGUAGAGGGUGGUGGAAUUUCCUGUGUAGCGGUGAAAUGCGUAGAUAUAGGAAGGAACACCAGUGGCGAAGGCGACCACCUGGACUGAUACUGACACUGAGGUGCGAAAGCGUGGGGAGCAAACAGGAUUAGAUACCCCGGUAGUCC